GGGCGAUUAGCUCAGUUGGCUAGAGCACCUGCUUUACACGCAGGGGGUCGCUGGUUCGAGCCCGGCAUCGCCCACCA
rnacentral:tRNA from 1 species